GUGGAAACACUGGUGCUGCUGCCCUCCCUGUGGCUCUCCUCCUCCUCCUCCGGCAGCAGCUCCCUCGGACUCUCAGGGCACGAUGAAUAAAGCCGUGGCUGCUAGCCCUGCCGCUCCUGCUGCCUGGACUCUCGUGCCGCGGGGCUGGGCAUUGUCUCCCCCUCGGUGAAGGCACGCACCGGGGGAAGCGCCGACCUCAUGAACUUCUACGCCACGAGCUACGCGGUGGCCUACGGCCAGCCGCGUUUCCGUCCCCGCCUCGGCCACCACACUGGCACCGGCUACGUGUCCAACAACCACUCGGCCAUGUCCUGCCUGCUCUGCCCGCGCGGUGCAGCAGAGGGCCACUGCCAGGACACCGCCACGUCCACCACCACUGAGCACUUCAAGCCCUUCUGGCUCCCCAACGGCCGGAGCCUGCUGCCCCGGCACGUCCACCAGCCGGAGAGCGGGUACCUCCAAGAGUCCUCCCUUUCCUUCCCCCACACCGGGGGGGUGAGUCCCCAGCACACGCGGCUCCUCCAGGGCCCCCCCAGAGCAUCCAGGGAGCACGGCACAGAGAGCCGCCGCGCCGGUCCUGCCCAGCCAGGUACGGUUUUGGGGGUGUCGGUGGUGCUGGGGCCAGCUCCGUCCCCAGGAGGUUUUGGGGUGUCAGUGGUCCCAGGACUAGGUCUGACCCCAGGAUGUUUUGGGGGUGUUGGAGGCCCCCUGCCCUGCAUCACCCACACCUGCCCACCCCCAAACACAGGGGGACAGGCAGGGGCCGUGAAACCGGGUAAUGCCAUGGCUGGCUCCAGAGUCCGUGCGCAGGCUGGGCUGGGGACAGGAUGGGGACAGUGGGGCUCCCUCCCUGCCCCAUCUGCUCCCCACAGAUGUCCUGCAGAAGACGACCAUCGGUGCCAAGGAGCAGUCGGGCUUCACCAGGGCCACCCCAAGGAGCGACAGCAUCCUGCCAGUCCUGCCAGCCCAGCCCGUGAGCCCCUGCCUCACCGGGUCCCUUGUCCCCCGCCAGCCCCUCACCCCCUUUGCACCCCAAGGGACAAUUUUGCUCUCCCACAGCUCGGCGUUAGCAUCACCACAACGGAUUACCUGCCCUCUGUGCACAGACACGGCGGCGAGACACUCCCGGCACUGCCGGCGGGCUCCGAGAGAGGCAACGGGUUCAGCCGGGAGGUGCCACGCUGCCUGGGCACGGCGGUGAGCAGGACCCCAUCCCACUGCCUGUCCCCGUGUGCCCUCCCUGUCCUCAUCCACUAUCCCCACGCAGGGCUUGCCUGUGGUGGGCCACCCCAUCCCACUCGUCUCCCGAGGACUGCAGGCACCCUGAGUGACCCAGGCCAGCCCGCUGGGACAGCAGGGUGCUGGCAGGAAGGUGGGUGCAGGCAUGGCCUCGUCCCCGUCCCCAUCCCUGCAGGACCAUGCACCCAACCCACCUCCAUCCUCCCAGGAGCCAUUGGGGUUCACCAUUAACCACGGCCAGUACGUGACCCCCUGCCCGACCCCGUCCCCCACAGCGCCAGCCUGGCGUUGGCAGGGUCCAACCUGGAUGGUGAGACCCACGGGGGGCAUCCAGCCCCAGCGCCCCAGCGGCUUCAGCACCAACAACCACCCUACC